rnacentral:rRNA from 1 species
UAAGACGAACCGAGCGAACGUUGUUCGGAAUCACUGGGCUUAAAGGGCGCGUAGGCGGGCUGUCAAGUCUGGGGUGAAAUCCCGCGGCUCAACCGUGGAACUGCCUUAGAUACUGACGGCCUCGAGGGAGGUAGGGGCGAGCGGAACUGUGAGUGGAGCGGUGAAAUGCGUUGAUAUUCACAGGAACUCCGGUGGCGAAGGCGGCUCGCUGGACCUCUUCUGACGCUGAGGCGCGAAAGCUAGGGGAGCGAACG